rnacentral:SRP_RNA from 1 species
GCCAGGCGCAGUGGCACAUGCCUAUAGUCCCAGUUACUCGGGAGGCUGAGGUGGGAGGAUCGCUUGAGCCCAGGAGUUCUGGGCUGUAGUGUGCUAUGCCAAUCAGGUGUCCACACUAAGUUCGGCAUCAAUAUGGUGACCUCCCGGGAGCGGGGAGCCACCAGGUUGCCUAAGGAGGGGAGAACCGGCCCAGGUCGAAAACGGAGCAGGUCAAACUCCCGUGCUGAUCAGUAGUGGGAUCACACCUGUGAACAGCCACUGCACUCCAGCCUGGGCAACACUGUGAGACCCCGUCUCU